rfam:Aedes albopictus isolate Foshan contig151985, whole genome shotgun sequence.
GGCUCGGUAGCUAAGUCGGUAAAGCACUUGUAUAGCAUAUAAGGGUCGUGAGUUCAUAUCUCCCAUGAUCUG